GAAAUGCGAUAAGUAAUGCGAAUUGCAGAAUUCAGUGAAUCAUCGAAUCUUUGAACGCACAUUGCGCCCGCUAGUAUUCUGGCGGGCAUGCCUGUCUGAGCGUCAUUUCAACCCUCAUUCCCGGCUUCGUGUCGGGGAUGGUGUUGGGGAUCGGCCUCCCGGUUGCGGGCGGCCGGCCCCGAAAUAGAGUGGCGACCACGCCGUAGCCUCCUCUGCGUAGUAGUGAAAACCUCGCAGGCGGAGAGCGGUGUGGCCUGCCGUAAAACCCCCAACUCUUCUAAGGUUGACCUCAGAUCAGGUAGGAAUACCCGCUGAACUUAAGC
rnacentral:misc_RNA from 1 species